UUGCAUUGGAUUGCAUUGUAUUGCUUAAGUAGCAUUAAAAUUUAACCAUUUUAAAAGUUUGAAUACUAAAUUUUAGUAUUAUUGUAUAUGUGUACGAUAAACAUUACAAUUAUUUACAUAAGUUUGAUUCAAAAUCAAUUUUAUAUCAAUGCAAAAAUAUAUGCAGAUGCAAAUCAGAUUAUAAAAUUCAAGAAUAAUAUGGAGAGCCGGUCGCAGGUAGAAAACUGUCAAGACGUCUACGUGUCUGAUAUGUGUACACUGAUAUGUCAACAUAGUGACAGUUGUGAAAUUGCUACUUUCAUCAGGCAUAGAAGCAAAAUUAUAUAAACGGCGGCCAUCGUAGUUAUUUCUCUUCAACCCUAAUCUUUCUGUUUUUAACAUUAUGUAAAUCGCAAGUAUAAAAAGUUGGUUCGCAUUUCAAAAUUUAAUAAUUUAUUAAAAUGUAUUAAAAUGUAACUAUAAUUUGUUAAAAUAUUCAAACUAAUUCAUUCUGAAUAAUGUUAGUGUAUAUUAUAUAUAUAUCUACCGUUACCAAUAGUCAUUGAAUAAGACACACACACACGUCAUAAAGAUAAGAAGAAAGACUAAGUACACUCCACACCUACUUUAUAGCAGAACUGUUAUCUAUUUUUCCAUUUUUUUUUUUUAUAAAUGAUCAAAAUACAACUUCGGAUUCACUUCUA